rnacentral:rRNA from 1 species
UCUACAGCCAUACCACCCUGAACACACCUGAUCUUGUCUGAUCUAGGAAACUAAGCAGGGUUGGAAGUUAAGCAGGGUCAGGCCUGGUUAGUACUUAGAUGGGAGAA